rnacentral:lncRNA from 1 species
AGUCACUGUUUCCACCUUCAACGCGCAUCCAGACAGCAGCACCGCACCCUCGCCUUUGGUCUGAAAUCACAGCCCGACUGGUGAGCUGGCACCACCUCGCAUGCUCAGUGGGUCAAUGCUAAGUGCUGGCUGCCCACAAAGCCAGCGUCUUAGAAUAGACUCAGCCUAAACAGGCGCUCACUUCCCACAGAGUUCCCAGCAGGAGGUGGCAGGACAGCUAGGUCUGCUGUGGGUCUUGGCUCCCCAUUCACACUAAAGGCUGAAUGCUCUGUGGCCAGUUCUCAAUUUGGACCAUGCUUUCCUGUCACAGCAGCCCAGACUACCCUCUGUCACCCAGCCCAGGAUGAGUGUAUCUGUUACCCCCAGGUUGACACUGCAAAAUCUGAAAAUGGCUCACUAUGCAGAGACAGUGCAGGGCAGGAGUGGAGUCCGAUCUCCAGAACCAGGCUUGAAUUCUGACACUGGGACAUCCUUGCUAUGUGACUCCGACCAAUUCACUUGACCUCUCUGGACUUGGCAUAAGAAGGGGAGAAUAGAAAUAUCUGUCACAUGGGGUUGCUGUAAGGAUUGAAGUGUGCCUAUCACUAUUCAAUAUUCAAUACAUAUUAGUUUUUACUAAUCUAAAAAAUAAAAUGUAAAAAUAAGAAAGGGAGA